CGGCCAGGCCGCGCCGGGAGCGGCAGCUGAGGGUCGGCAGAGCUCGGCGGAGCUCGGCGGCUUCAGCAUCGCCUCGUGUUGCUGCUCCGAAAGGAUCAGGUGGUUCCCUCCCUGCAGGGGAGAAGGGAUGCAGGAUCCCCUCGAGCAGCGCCUCGCAGAGAGGAGAGGAUGGGCGUUUUGGGGUGAAUUUGGCCCCUUUAAUCGAUCCCGAAAGAGGAGCAGGGAAUGGGGAGGCUCCCCUGCCGCAUCUCUGAGGAGGAAUAAAUCACAGGAUCACUUAGGUUGAAAAAGACCUCUGACAUCAUCGAAUCAAUAUAAAGUUUAUCACCAAACGCUUCUCUAGAAACGAAAUGCAGGUACUGCCAGAGGUCUGCCAGCUCCUGUGGAUCCAGCAGAAGUGGAUGUUGAAGGUUUUGUGAGGGUGUCCCAGGACCAUCUUGCCCUCAGCCUCUGGCCCCAGGUCCGCUCCCCAGCACAGCAGGGUCAUCCAAGGGGACCUGUGCCAGGGUGUUUGGAUAGUGAUCUCACAAGGGAUCCUUGUGCCUCUGCAGGGCCCCCUCUUGCUCCUAGUCUGAUUCCUCCCAGGAAAGGAGCCUUUUUCUCAGAAAUUUUAAGUUUUCCGUUAACAAACAGCAGUUCCCUGCUCUGCAACCUCCUUCCUCUCAGGGAUAGAUGUGCCCUCAGAUCCCAUCACCCCUCAGGAGAGAGCGGUGCUGCCUCUGCAUCUCCCAGAACUAGCAAAACCCCUCUUUUUGACAGCAUUAUUCCCAAGUGAUGCAAUGUGACAAGAGAACAAACUCCUGGCUGCCUCCACCUUCCCAGCGAUCCCGAGGCUGCUCUUCCAGCCUGCAGGGCCCUCCCACACCGCUGCAGUUCAGUUGUAACUGGGGGGGCAGCUGUUUUGCUGGAGGUUAAGGGCGCAUUUGCAGGAACAAGAGGUGUUUGGGAAGCGUGCCCAGCCCGGCAGAACGUGCAGCACUGCUGGGACAGGCCGGAGCAUGGACCGUCUGGAAUGUGGAAUGUAAACAAGAGUGUGUUACCAGCAACAGCCCAGCUACAGCCCCAAACCUACGGCGCUGUCCCUGGGGAGCAGCAAACCCUGCUCCGCCUGCUCGAGCUGCAGCCCCGGGGCCACUUGUCACUUCGGAUCAAAUUAUAACUACACAAGCACCAAGUGACUGUUCACCAGAGGCUGCACUUGCAGGAUAACUCCCAAAGAGUGGCCUGAAGUUCCAAGGAGGGCUGAUGAGCGUCAGCUGGCAAAGGAAACAGACUCUCAGCUGACAGGACCCAGCCCAGAGGUGACAGAGCUGGGGGCUCCCAAUGCCCUCUGGUUCCAUGGGCACCUCCUCCUGCCUCCCCCCAGCAUGGCACAGCCACUGGGGGUCAGUUAAACCACACUUUUAUUGUAUUGUAUUCCAUGCAUUAUGUUCAUGUCUUAUAGUAUGACAGAGGGAGGGAUAAAGAUAAAAUGUUAAACAUAAACAAGAGCAGAAAGGUCAUUUGUAACAGGUCCUGAGAAGGAAAGGCACAUCGUAACCACCGAAUCCAACAGAACGGAAACCUGGGACAGAGGAAGACAACGCUGGAGAGCGGAUGAGGGAGGGGGGGUUUCAAGUCGAGUGUGUGGAAGCAGGUUUGACAGCAACCUGCAUUCCCCCACCCACCAAGGUCUGUAGUUCAAAUGGGUUUGGGGACCUCAAUAUUCGACCAAACCACUUUCCACACUCCUGUUGCCAGGGAGAGUUCAAAAUUCCCCAACUCCUCCAGGCUUAGUGAGCACCAAGGGGCAGCAGAGGACUCAAAGCUCCUUUCUGCAGAGACCAGCUGGGAAAGGGCAGCUGGUGGGGAGGCAGGGAAGGGCUGCCCAGCACUGAGGGAUCCCGAGCCAUCUCCUGCCCAUCAGCGCAGGAUCCCAGGAGCGCCAUGGACUGCAGCAUCGCUGGUGACCUGGGGGUAUUGCUAUUCACCGGCAUCAAGGACCACAGGGAAGGGAAGGCAGAGGAUGGAUACAGCAGAGAAACGGUUGGCACGGACACUGGCACACAGCUCUGUCGGGUCAGACACUGGAGGGGUUGUAGCACCUCGAAGGGAAGCAGCAGCAAAACCAUGUGCUGUGCCUGAUUUAAGGCAGCGAUUGCCACUUGUGAUCCAGCGCUGGGAAGCACGAGGUUCCUGCCAGAGCAGCACAAAGGGCUCCAGAGCCAGGCUUGGACACCAGGCCACUGCUGGUGCAGUGACCACAGCACAGCCUGCAGUGAGCUGACACAACGGGGAACUUCUGGGAACUGCCACACAGUGGAAAUGAGCACAAAACCAGGGCAGAGGCUCGCAGAGGCUCACGUGAGGCAGCCAGACACACAUCUCUCCCAAGCACCCAGCCCUGCUGUGACAGACACAACAGUGCCUUAUCUUGGCUUGCAGUGGAGGAGAUGGUUCAGCUUCACCUUGGGAUCAAGAGCGGGGACGGUUCUGUCGUCACAGCUGUACCAGAACCAGCCUUGCUCCUGUUGAAGUGUGUUUUGCAUGUUAAAGAAGGAACACUUAGCAGCCUAGAUUUCUUCUUGAGCCCCUUUAGUUUGCUACCUGCAACCCUUUCCCAAUCCCUUGAAGCCAUCCUGAAGGUCACAGCCCAGGUGGAAUAAGCAACAAGAGGGCAGAAACACGAGGUGGCAGCAGGGCUGAGCCCAAGGCCUUUCCUGAGCAGCACAAGGCAGAGGUGGGUCUGCUGCCAGGCACAGGUCCUUCCCCAGGCAGGAGGUGGGCAUGGGCAGGGGUCUCACAGCCCUGUGCAGGGCAGGGAUGGAGUCUGGGAGGUUUUACUCAAGCCUGAGAGGGCCGUGUUACACUGGUGAUGGGCAGCCCAAGAGCACGGGCAGGCAGCUGGGCUUUGCCUCGAGCUGGUGACCAGGAGGAACAGCUCAGGGCCUCCCUGGCUGAGAUCAGCCACAAGGUCUCCAUCUCUGACCAUCCCAACCAGUAGAGAAGGCUGGAGGAGUUUUGCCUUUGCCACCAUGGACUUUGUGCUGGGCUCUGAGAGAGGGCUGAGCUGCCUCGGUUGGGGCUUCAGUCACUCCGUGGCACAGAUUGUAAACUUUAGUCCCUGCUGACCUAAGCUAGGUCUGGAUUUGGCCUCCAGGUGAAAGGUUCUCCAUUUCCUUCUGCCUGGCUGCAGCCCCCAGUGGCUGCUCAGGGCUGGGGGUGUCAGAAGCAUCAUCUCCCACACCACAUCCCUGCAAAAUCCCGAGACGCUGGUGGGAGAUGCUCUGGGGUGUAGCUCAUACCCUGUAAAACCCAGGCAAGGCAGGACAGGCAGCAAGAUGGAACCAGGCAGUGCCCUGCCAUCAUGGUGUUACCUGUACAUCCAACUGUGGCAACACUGGGCUGUGCUACAGGGUCCUUGUCCAUGGAGGGAACAGCACAAAAUGAGGGUGUUCCUGCUGCUAGCUGAGGACCCCGCAGUGCUGCCAGCACCUGAGCCUGGAGCUGAGCAGAGAGGUAAUGCCCUGAGCCAGGGCUUCUUUCCAAAGGCUGUAAGGAGAAGCCAUCAGCAUCCACGUGGAGGCAGGUGGGUCCAGGAGAUGGGCCAGGAGCAGGUCCUGGAGGCCUUACCCCUGUUGCUCUCAGGAUGGGAUGACAGCUCUGAUCUGGGGCUCAGAUGGGGAUGCAGAGCUGGAGUUGAGGGAGAUGGGGGGAGCCUUCCUCUUCAGCUGCAGGAAACCACCCUGGUGCCCUGGGAUGUCCCCUCAUUGCUCAGGCCAGGGCUGGCUGUGCGGGCUGGUCUCUUCUCCUGAGCAGGCUGUGUCCACACCAGCAUGGGCAGCACCAAUGGCAGGGGGCAGAGACAGGAGUGACGGCCCAUGAUCCUGUGGGAUGCCAUUCCGGGGUUGUGAACAGAAGGCUGGGCAGGAGCUGGAAUCUCUGGGGAGCAGCAUCUGCAGCUCAGCCACCUUUCUUCCUCUGUACAGACUCUGCCACAGCCCCUGCAGCUGAAGUGUGUUCCUCACAAGGCUCCUGUCCCUUGCCUCGGAGGUGUCACCGUCCUAGUGUCUCCACAGCUGGUGCAGCAAAGCCCUCGAGGUGCCACCAUGGUCCACAUGUUCUCAUCUGUACUCCACAUGGGCUUGGACACAGCUCAACAGGGGCUGGAGGGGAUGAACCUGCCUCAGGGCUGGGGCUCCUCCAGCACCUCCCUCUGUUCCACAAAGCUUAAUCUACAGCAUCUCCCCCAGCUCCCAGAAGGAAAGGGGGGCUGGUGCCCCACGAUCACCCCUAACCAACAUCCCCCAGGAAGUUCACAGUUGUCGCCAAGCGGAGCGGGGAGGAUGAGGUGCAGCACGAGUCAUCCCCUGGUCUUGUGAUGGAGUUUGGUGGAAAAAUCAUCCUCUUCCACCCCCUGGCUUGGGAAAAGCACUGGGGGAUGCCACGUGUGCCCAGAGCCAGCCUGGCCCAGGGGCUGUAGCCAUGCUCACACGUGGGCAAGGAGGAGGAGGUCGUGCCCACACUCACGCACCACAUGGACACGCUUAAAAAAACGGGAAUUGCGAGUGUGGGAGGGGGUUUCCUGAGACCACAGAGAAGCGAAGGCCGCGUUGGACAGUCAGGGACAGGUGUGCUGGUGUCGGAGCAGUCCUGCCUUAAGGCUGCAAGUGUUCCAGGUACUGCGGCAGCGGGUUCUCCUUGACGUAUUUCUGAAUGUACCAGCACGUCAGGUGAGCUUUCAGGUCCUCCUCCACCACGAAGUCCAGGGCUGCCUGUGACCAACCAGAGAGAACACACAGGUUACAACCACCACCCUCAGCCUACGCUCUCCUCUGAAGCCUCAUGGGGGUCUGGACUCCUGUACCACUCAGAUAGAGGGGGGAAGCAGCAGCUUGCCCUCAGAUACCCUCUGUGUGAGGCAGGUGGAGGGAGAGGGUUGUGGGGAGAGCACAGCACAGGGUUCCCAGUUUAACCCUCAACACAUCCAGCCUGGUGGAUGCUGCACAGCAGGUGACCUAGCCCAUCAUGCCACCCAUUUCCCCUGACCUACAGGGCCAGGGAGCAGCUGUAACCCCAAAGCAUCACCCCACAUUCCCUCGUGGCUCCUCAGCUCUCCCUGCAUGGCUGCAGGACCCAAGGCAGGCACAGGGCUCACAGGGGCAGUGAAGGUUUGAGAGGAGGAGUCCAGCCCCCAGGUGAGGUGAUCCAUCAGCCCCUGCACAGUGGGCACAAGAAGGAAUGGGCCAAGCACUCACCCAGCCCCUCUCGCCACCAAAACAGGAAUGUCUGACCCCAGAUUUCCAUCUGCCCCACCAGCCACCCCACCUCCCAUUGGAGCAGGGGGCUCCCAUGCAAUUCCAACGUGAUGGGGCCUGGCUUCAGCCAGGAUCUCUACCCACAGCUGGGAUGGCAACAGCUCUUGCCCUUCUGGGUGUUUGGGGCUGUACCUUGGCCAGGUGCUUGGCUAUUCCUCUCCCUCGAUAGGCAUCCGGCACUUCUGUGUGCUGCAAGUCCACGAUCCGCUUCCCCACGUACUCGUAGAGCAGCACUGCCUUGUCAUGGCAACCUGGGGGGUGUGAGAGAGGGGUGAGGACUGGGAGGUCUCCUGGGAGCCCACAGCAGGGGAUGGGCAGCUUUGGGAUUGCUACAACAGCCCUCGUGCCCACGGGAAUAGCUGUGCUGGGCGGGAGACUUUGCUUUCAGUGACACCUGGAUGUGUCCUCCUUGGUCCCCUAAAGGUGUGAGAAGAGCCAGGUCUGCUCAGCCUUUCCAAGCCUCUGGAGCAGAGGCAAGUUUUCUACCCACCCCUGAAUUGCUGAUGCCAACACAACACGUUUAGGGUAGGAAAGCAGCUGUGGGGAGGGGUGGGAUGUGCUGAUGUGAAGGAGAGAGCAAAAAACAGGAGAGGGAAAAACAAUUCCUUUCUCCUCCAGUACAGUUUUUUGUUGUGGCACAUAAAACAGGACAAGACUCCUUAGUCUGGUGUUGCAGCAUUGCCUAGACAUGUUUUGGGGAAGAUACUGGAGAGAUAAAUCCCACAAACACACAGGAAAGUACACACAGGUGUGCAAGGGGGUUUGUGCACACAAAUUCACAUGUACACACACAGGUUUCCUGUUUCAACACCCUGACCUUUCUCACAGCAGCUCAGCUACAGGAAAGAAGAAGUUUCAGUACACAUGUGAAUCAGAGGAGAGCUCAUAACACCUCCCUGGUUUCAUCUGCAGAACCUGAGCUUCUGCCUUUGAUGCAAAACCAAACACUUCAUUUCUAGACGGUUUCUGGAUUUAAAAGUGAAUUUCAGAAAUACAAUUCCCCAAUCAAGACACAAGCUCACUUAAAAUAGUGGAACCUUUCCCUUCAAUGGUUUUUGGAGGCUGAAGGGCUGCAAUGUCCACUUCUAUUCACUGUUUGCUUUAGCUGAGCUCAGUACCCCCUAUGUCACUGCAUUUCAGCUGACAACUGCAGCCCAGUCCGCCUCAUCCCUGCAUUGAAGAUGCACUAGAAAUAAGACCAUUGGAAUUUUGUGUUUCAAGAGAAGCAGCUCAAGUUUUUGUUCCUGCUCCUUUUAUGCAGACACUCGAUUCUCCGACGUCGGAUGGAAGCCUUCGCAUUUCCAGCCCGAGUUUAUUCCUGCUGGUUUGUACCCGCUCGUUCUCGUGCCAACAUUGUUCUUGGGUGGACAUAAAUAAUUUCCCUCCCUGCCGUUCCCCCAAGUAUUUAUAGGCAUCAGUCCUGCCCCUCUCAGCCUCUAGUUCACCAAAAAGCCAAGCUCUUUUAGUCUCCGCAGACAGAAAAAAGGGAGAAGAGCAACGUUUCUCCAUGUGGAUCCAGACACCCAAAAAAAGCCAUGGGAACAGGUGAAGCUCUUCCCCAGCAGCACAGACCUGUCUCACUCGAGAGGAACCCACCCAGGUCGGGGCAUGAGCAAAGCCAGGUGCCCUCACCCUCACAGCAUAUUUGGUGGCAGCUCUCCCAGGGGUGGCAAAGGCAGAGCUGGCAGUGCCAAAGGCUGUAAAAUGAUCUUAUAACGGCGGCUUUCACACGCUCCAGCCCUUCCACCCCACUCUCCCCCCAGGCCAAAACUUUCCAUAGCCUCUGCCUGAAGCUUUGAGAAAUUUACAACUAAAUUGGUGACAGAGCAAAAGGUCUUUAUUUUUCCUAAAAUAUACUUUUUUUUCUACAUGAUCUCUUUAGAAGUAUCACACACAAAAAUGCAUUUUAAAGCAGAAGGUGAUUCAGUGUCUAGAGAAUCUCAGAUCUGGCCUGGGCAGGCUUUUCCUUGAUAUUCCUUGUAGCACAGCAGCACCACAAACCCCCAGCCAGGACAGGAGCUGCAGGGUGCCACCAGCACACAGACGAACACACACAGAGUCCAAAUGAUUUUACAAACAGCUCUGCAGAGAAAGCCAGUGCUGUCAGUGCUCCAAGAAACCAGUCCCAGUUCAGAAAAACAUCCCAGUUCAGCCAAGGACAUAACCACAUCUGUAUGUGCUCACCUCAGUGAUGGGACCCUGAGCCACACAGUGCAUGAAACCAGGGACACUCGUGCCACAGGGUUUGGUGUGGGCCCUGCAGGUGACAGCAAUGGCUUGGAAGAGGCCGGUCCUGGACAUGGGGGGCUGCUCCCAGGAAAGCUGGGGUAGCUGGAAGCAGUGCUAACCCUUUGCUGCAGCUGCCCUCAAAGACAGGGCACACGAGCAGAAACCCCACAAAAACGUGGCAUAAGAGACGCCGUGUGCCGGCCUCGCGCCUGCCUCAUCCAUCCCCUUGGACUUUGGGACGGGGGUUUUAUCAGCCUGCACAGACAGAGCUUGGCAAAGCAGGCUCAGGUCUCAGCCAGCUCCAGAGGUGCCCGUGAGCCUGACCCUGGUGUUUGACUCGCUGACACUCCCCUGGGAGGCCACAGCGAGGAAGUUGAGUCAAUGCAAAUCAGCACAGCCAGAGCAGGAGCGGGAGGAGGCUGCAGCAAUGGCAGCACAGCUGGUGUCCUGCUCUCCCCAAUCCCUCACUCAAAUCACAGGGUGCACAGGGAAGGGGAAGCUUUUCCAGGAGCUGGGUGAGAGACCAGGUCUAAACUUGCUCUCCAUGGAGGGUUUCCACCAGGACCAGUGGCACAGAGCUCCCAUCCAAGCAGGGGCAGCAGAGGCCCCUGUGACACAGGCUCAGCUGUGACACCAGACAUAAGUCCCCAGGCUGGGUGGCUCACGAGCCUGAGGGGACGAAGCAGAGAGCCCAGCCCCAACCUGAGCCGAGCAAGGGACACAUCAGGCAUCUGGGAAGAUACAAGCACCCUGUUCCAGCCAUCCUUUGCUGACCCCCUCUCCUGGCAUACACAAAGUAUCUGUCAGCCUUUUUCCCUUCUCCCUGUCCCUCUGUGCUGGCCCCAGGCCACAAUACACCUUUGUGUGCCCAGGACUGGAGCAGGGCAGGGGCCUGGCCUUCUGUGCUCCAACCUUUGGAGCAGCCCCUGCGCUCCAGCCUCCUUAGGACACUGCUGCAAAACCAUUUCCUGAGAGCAAGGGGAGGGAACAGAUGCCAGCCCCCAUUUCCCACUCUCAGACACAGGAAAGCCAGAGGCAGGAGGCAAUUCAGCUCAUCUGCUGCUGAGCCAAAAAGUGGGG